GGAUUAGGCAUGCAAGUCGAACGAGGGAGCGCCCCGAAAGGGGUGCAAACCGAGUGGCGUAAGGGUGAGUAAUGCAUUGAUAACCUACCUUUGAGAUGAGGAUAACAACGUUUCAAGUAAUUGAAAUUACCGAAAGGGUUGCUAAUACUCAAUAAAGCUAUUGUUGCUUUGGUAGUGAUAGUCAAAUAGGUGGAGUCGAAAGGCUUCAUUUGCUCAGAGAGGGGUUAAUGUCCUAUCAGCUAGUUGGUAGGGUAAUGGCCUACCAAGGCAAAGACGGGUAGCCGGCCUGAGAGGGUGGUCGGCCACACUGGGACUGAGACACUGCCCAGACUCCUACGGGAGGCUGCAGUCGAGAAUCUUUCGCAAUGCCCGAAAGGGUGACGAAGCGACGCCGCGUGCGGGAAGAAGGCCUUCGGGUUGUAAACCGCUGUCGGGAGUUAAGAAAUGUAAGGAUGUUAAUAGCAUCUUUGCUUGACUAAGGCUCCGGAGGAAGCCACGGCUAACUCUGUGCCAGCAGCCGCGGUAAUACAGAGGCGGCAAGCGUUGUUCGGAAUUAUUGGGCGUAAAGAGCACGUAGGCGGCUAUGUAAGUCGGUUGUGAAAGCCUUCCGCUCAACGGGAGAACAGCAUCCGAUACUGCAUGGCUUGAGUGCGGGAGGGGAGAGUGGAACUUCUGGUGGAGCGGUGAAAUGCGUAGAUAUCAGAAGGAACGCCGGCGGCGAAAGCGACUCUCUGGUCCGAAACUGACGCUGAGUGUGCGAAAGCUAGGGGGUCAAACGGGAUUAGAUACCCCGGUAGUCCUAGCCGUAAACGAUGGGCACUAAGUAGAGGGGUUUU
rnacentral:rRNA from 1 species